GAUGUGAGGAAGAAGUACUGCCACUUGUUCCUCAGUGCUUUGCAGUCACCAUUUCAAGGAAGGAGAUUUUGAUAGGACAGGUCAGAUUGUUCGACUCCGAGAUGGUGUUAUUCCAUCCGUCUUCAGCUUCCCAGUUCACCUCCAAAGAUUGGAAAAGGGCAGGGCUACGUCUACCUCCAGAAGAGCUGAAGAAAGCCUGUCCGUGGCCUCUCAGGAUUCCCAAGAAAUGUCAACCUCACACCCACAACCUCAGCCUAAUGAUGAUCAUGGCUAUGCCUUGCCUGCUUCUCCUACCGCUCUUAAGACCAGACUCAAUGAGGCCUUGGCAAGAGUGGAAAGUCUGGAGCGAGACAAGAAGAAUGCCAUGGCCAGA